GCCCUGAAAUAUCUGUAGUACAGAGAUCUAUUUAGCUUUAUUCAGUUCAGUGCUUCCGAACUUACUUAACAAUAAAUUCUUUUAUUUCGUUAUAUGUAUCAAACCCCCAUAUUUCUGAGGGCAUAUUGCCCUGGGAGCUGAUUUACAAUUAUCCUGAAGAAAUAUUCACUACUGCUUUGGUGGCCUACAGAGACCUACAGGUAUUUGUGCUGACAGAUAUCUGGGGAAGACAGAGGGCAAAUGCAGCCGGGACAUUACUGAGGAAGACGCUACUGAAACUGGAGAGCUGAGACUAGGGUCCCAGCCAGAAAAUGGUGAGCCAGAGGCAUGAUGACAAUCUCUAGGAUCUCCUCACACUGGCAAGAUUCCAGAGGAAUGAUGUCAUCCUCA